UCAAAUUACGCUAUGCGCUAAUAGUAAAAUGCAAGCUUAUAUUGAUAGUGAUAAUUAACUAAAUACGUAUUGGCUCAAAACUCUAAAGAGAAAAGAGGAGGCCUUUUCGCUUCGUGGAACUAUUUCAAAUUGUGGACUCACCCUGCUGCUCGAGUUGAAUUCUCCUUUGCUGAAAAGGUAACCGGUCUGUCGAAAUUGUCUAUGAUCUAUUGAAUAUUAUUAGCUUGGCGAUAUGGCCUCAGACGUAUCAACAGUGGCAUGAUCACUUAGCAAACGUCCAAAACGAUACUGACUAAAAAAGCCGGGAAAGUAAUCAACGUACAUGAACUUCGUCUGUAUCGGCUAUGUUACGUUCGUUCUACUGCGCUUUUGAGGAGCAUACCUUGGGAUAAACAGAUGCAAGGAUACUGCAUCAGGAUAAACAU